AGUGAACGCUGGCGGUAGGCCUAACACAUGCAAGUCGAACGGCAGCACAGUAAGAGCUUGCUCUUACGGGUGGCGAGUGGCGGACGGGUGAGGAAUACAUCCGAAUCUACUUUUUCGUGGGGGAUAACGUAGGGAAACUUACGCUAAUACCGCAUACGACCUACGGGUGAAAGCAGGGGAUCUUCGGACCUUGCGCGAUUGGAUGAGCCGAUGUCGGAUUAGCUAGUUGGCGGGGUAAAGGCCCACCAAGGCGACGAUCCGUAGCUGGUCUGAGAGGAUGAUCAGCCACACUGGAACUGAGACACGGUCCAGACUCCUACGGGAGGCAGCAGUGGGGAAUAUUGGACAAUGGGCGCAAGCCUGAUCCAGCCAUACCGCGUGGGUGAAGAAGGCCUUCGGGUUGUAAAGCCCUUUUGUUGGGAAAGAAAAGCAGCAGGUUAAUACCCCGCUGUUCUGACGGUACCCAAAGAAUAAGCACCGGCUAACUUCGUG
rnacentral:rRNA from 1 species